UACGAAGGGUGCAAGCGUUAAUCGGAAUUACUGGGCGUAAAGGGUGCGUAGGCGGUUCGUUAAGUCUGUUGUGAAAUCCCCGGGCUCAACCUGGGAAUGGCAAUGGAUACUGGCGGGCUAGAGUGUGUCAGAGGAUGGUGGAAUUCCCGGUGUAGCGGUGAAAUGCGUAGAGAUAUGGAGGAACACCAGUGGCGAAGGCGACUUUCUGGUCUGUAACUGACGCUGAUGCUCGAAAGCUAGGGGAGCAAACAGG
rnacentral:rRNA from 1 species